ensembl:lncRNA
CUCGUCCAGACGACAUGCUUUUACGAUGAGGAACUGAAGUGAACUCUCCUCUCCCUCCCUUUGUCUUAUUGGGACAUGUAUGGACUGUAGCGCCCCCUCUUGGUCAGACUGGGAGGAGCGCUUUGUCAUACUGAAACCGAAUGAAAGCGCUUUUUUAAAAUGUCCUUUCUAAUGCACCUUUAUCUUUGUUCACAUUCUGUUCCUCUUUUUCUUCAGAGUUGCACUUUUUUUUACAACAAUGAUAGAAUCACCGCCAUAGCAUAUAUAUGUAUAUGUAUGUAUGUAUGUGUAUAUAUAUAUAUAUAUAUAUAUAUAUAUAUACAUAUAUAAUGUGUGUGUGUGUACGUCAAAGUGACAGAUACUUCUAUUUGUGUAACACACUUGUUGUUUGGUCUGCACUAUAUUGAAUCCACUAUCUCAAUUACCUUUUGUAUAGAUAACAAUGAGCCAAUAGAUUACCUUGUGAAACUCCUUGCAGCUCUCUUCAUUAGCUAGUAACAAACUGUGUGGCCAUGCUGAUGAACUAGGACGUCCCAUCAGGGUUGAGGAUUGAGCACCUUCGUAGCCUCAGUAAUUGUCACAAUAUUGAGCCAUCAGACAAAAGGGGGAAAGAGACAAAGAACCCCUAAAUUGUCAAAGAGAGGCCAUGGCCUUUGUAAUUACCUCAACUGUACAUUUAUUUAUUAGAAAAUUUAAUUUGAUCAUAUUAUAGUCAGACACCCCCUUGUUGUCUAAUCUACAGUUCCUGGUAAGCUUUUAGUAUGAUACAGUUGCAGGACAUUUCUAUCAUAGCUUUAAGAAAAAGGCAAAGUAGAAGUGAGCUUUGAGUGACACUUUGAAGUGGAAUUAGUGCUUUUUAGAAACAUCUUCCCUCCAGAUUGUAUUUUAAUUGGGUAUCUGUUCCAUUAUGUACUCGAUAGGUUUGUUAAGUUUUGUCUUUUUAAUGUGCUGUGGACCAACUUUAUAUAGAGAUAAACUAAACACACAGGAUACUUACUGGUAGCUCUAAUGACUUUUUGAUUUGACAUUGUGGAUUUUAAACACUCGGAAUGUCUGAGCACAUUUUGCCAUCUGCAACACAGCAAAAAGAAAUGGAUCACAGGAAUGUGCAUCCAGAGGUUUAAUUUAACAGGGAAGAAGACUAAAACGUUAGUACUAGUGCAAGACGAAACCAUCACAAAACUAAUCAUCUUUACUAACUUUCCCUUCCAAAGUGUUUCGCUUUGAUUUAAGACUGAAAACAACUGACUAUUGAGGCCCAUUUGUCACUGUACCGCAGUAUUCUCUUCAGUCUUCAUUGUACAAACUGUUAAAAAGCAAAGCAAACUGGUUGCACAGCUCUGUGUUUCAUUUCUUUCAGUAGCAUAAUGUAUGCAAAAGGUGUUUUAUAGAUGUUGUAAAUGAAUUUAUUGAUAUAUUGCAUAAAUAAAGACAAGUACACAUGGAGCCAC